GCUGACCUGAAAGGGAGCUGCCGCUACAAACUGAGUGUGGGAGGAAGAAGUUGAGGUGUCUGCACAUUUUUGGGUGCGUGCGUGCGAGGCAGAGGAAGAAGGGAAAAGGAGAGCUAUUGUUAUUCUCUCCCCCUCCUUUUUGCACCUCUACCUUGAAGGGGGUAAUUGCUGAAUCAAGGGGAAACUGGCAUUCAGAAAGGGAGUGGACUCUGGAAUUGGCUCAUUCCUUUCUUGGGAUGUUCUUAGUGCUCCCCAUCUUUGAGAAUGGUCCUGUUUGGGGAAAAAUUUGUCACUUAACUUUUCAGACCUAACUUGGUCUCUCAUGCCUAAAAUUGUAAGUGACUUUAUCCACCCGGACAAUGUUACCUUAUUCCUGUCCACUUUGGCUUUUUUUAUGAGUUAUGAAAAGAAAUCCUAGAUCUGCAUGCGAUGGUGGGCUAUUUUCUGCUUUGGAAGACCAUCCUGAGAUUGGACGCUCAACUGAACCAUGGUAUUCAAGAAGAACUUCAUUGGCAGAACACGUCCUGUGGAAUUCUCCGGGUGAAACUUAGAAGUCUGCUGCUCGACAAUAAGUAGUGCCUCCACGGAUGGUAAACCUAACUUUCAGGAGGGGCAAGCACUUUUAUUGGCAUAAACACUCCCUUUCUUUUACUUCUUCUUUUAAAAAACGAAUUAGUAGCAUUGUGUGAGUAUUUAAUACUGUCUUUUUGAAUUUCCAGGUCUACUGUCCUUUUAGUCCUUCCAAGACUUAAGGCUGCAAUCCCAUGCGUAUAUAUCUGGGAGUAAAAUCCGUUGAAUUCAGUGUGGGUUACAUCCGAAAAGGAUUGCUCUAUAUAAGGCUGAAAUCUAAAUGCUAGGGAGUAAGUCCCAUUGAACAUACCAGGUCGUGUCCUUCUGACUUACAUGCUGAGGACUACGAUGCAUGGAAUAGAGGCUCAAAACAAGACCAGGGUAGAAAGCAAAACGAUUAAGUGCAGAAUGUAAAGUAUCAAACUUUCUGUUGUUGUUUUUUUAAAGAGGCCUUGAAUAAAUCCUUAAGGUCUUUCUGAAACUGGUAUGGCAUAGGGGCUGCUGGCGGUGCACUUUAGGACCCACAAUAGGUCAGUGGUGUUUUCUUAAAACUCACCAGUUCCUAGGCUGCUGGUCCUGAAGGUAUAAUGGAGAAGUACAAUUUGAAAAAGGAGGGGACCUGUUCAAAAAAGAGAACAAGAGAAAGAGAGAGAGAGAGACACAUACAGAGAGAGGGGAAAGGGGGGGGCGUGUUGGACUGUUUAGUAAAAGUCUAGAACGUAAAAACAGAUAAGAUUGGGACAGGAGGCGAAUAAAUGACUUUGGGUAAAAAAUAGCCUCCUCCGUUCCAUAACACCACUGUCCAAACACUCCUACCGAAGAUUCGCCAACAGGAUCCAGGUCUUUACCACCGUCGUUCGCUCACUUUAAAAGUUGCCAGCUUUUAACAUGUGUGUGCUGGGAGUCAACCGAAGUUAAAGAUGAUGCAUGGACACAAAAGAGCCAUACUUUAGGCGCGAAAGCACGCAUUUAGGAGGCAUUUCGUUCCGAAUAUUUCCUAGCAGGCUGGACAGAGAGAGGGCUCUCUUGCCCGAUUGGGGAGAGGGUGUUGUUAGCAAGAGGCUUUUGAUGUUCUCUAACGUUGUUAGGGUACGGUUUCCCGCGGUUGGGGGGGUGGGGAGUUAACGGGUUUAUUUUUUCCUGUUGGUGAACUUAAUGUCUUUCGACAUUAAAAUAACAGGAAUAACCUAACAAGGGAGGAAUAUCCAGAUCCAUUUAUUUUAUUUCUUAUAUGCUUAGCACGUCGUGGUUUUUUAACUUUGGCAGUAUAUUCGCGAGGGGCCGGGUCCGAGAGAAGGGAGGAGCAACCCCAGUUCAUUUACCUGCAAGUAAGCCUCGCUUAUUUUCAACGAGUACGUGUGUACACAAUACACACACACAGGUCCUUCUGAGUCUUUGAGUCUUUGCAAUAGGGCAUACACGAACCCAACGCAUAUAAGCAGGGGCUAUUGCUCUCAAGUUAAAGCCUGCCUGAGAUCCCAACUUUAAUCCCACCGAGGUCUAGUAAGAUUCAGAAGGGUAGUCAGAUGGUGUCUGGCAUUCUCAUGUGUAGGCGAACAAAAUGGGCCGAAGGAGAAAGCGAAUUCGCCAAACAAUUAACCGAGGAUUGUGGAAGGCGAACUACUUUGAGAUUUAUCACUGAAGCUUGGGUAAGGUUUUGGUUUAGGGGAAAAAACGAGAGGGAGGAAGAGGGAGAGAUCAUUUAAAAAUAUUUUCGUUUGGGGAAACAUUCCUUGGCUCUAAUAACCCGGUUUUCCGUUCUGAAUGCUAAUAUUAUUAAUCUGCAAUAAAAACGUCCGCUAACCACACACCAACACUCCCCGAACGGUAUCCCUGCAUGUCGCAGAACCUCUGGAAUAUAAAUCACGCCCGGGAGGCCCCAGCUGCCCCCAUCUCAAUUCUGCAGCCUUUGGCAAUAAUUCCAGCUUCAUUCCAACUGCUUCUUGUUGUUCCUAGAGGCGCCCGCCCCUAUGAACGGCCACCGAGUUGGCACCGGGCCACUUAUACCACUUGCAAUCAUCGGUGUGCUAUUUCUGGCUCUGAGUUUAAAUUAUUCGUUCUUUGCAUCAUAAAUAAAGUUGUUGCUUUUUUGUUUGUUUUGUUUCAUUGUGGAGUGUUUCUAUGUGUGAGAAAUCUAGCAGCUAAUAAUAAUAAUAAUAAUAAUAAUAAUAAUAAUAUUCUCACGCUUCUGGGACUCAGUGAAUAAACCUAGUGGCGGCAAAAUGAGGCCAACGCAAAUGAAGGCAGCUUACUAAAACGAUUUCUGCUAGCCUGCUACUGCUGCUGCAGUUCAUUAACUACAGUUGGCACGUUCAGCUGCGAGUCAUCCAGUAUUGCCUUAGUAUGAUGAUAAGACAGUGAGAGGUAUAAAAUGCACGUGUGAAGUGGUCCUGAGCACCUUCAGGGAGAAGUCAUCCCCAUCUUUUUAAAUCUCGGCUGCUGGCUUUUGGAGGGCAGGGGUAGUGCGCCAGGGAGGUGGGUCACCAAGACAGCCCCAUAAGUGGUGUUAGCCUUUGGACAGAGAGCAGAAGUGGAGCAAUCCAAGUCUAAAAGACAUAAAAUCCUAUAGGGAAGAGGAAAGUGCCUUCAGGAAGGAGGAAACUUCCUCCCCACACACCAAAAUCCGUCUAUUUUAAUGGGGUAAAGUUUCUGCUCAGUACCCACCAAAAAGAUGGAAAAGCAGCAAAAAGACAGAAACUCUCCCAUUCUAGUGUUUGGUGGUGUCUUCUGGUCUUCUUCAUGUAUUUUCUUCAACAUAAGGUUUUCUAUGUGGCCUGGUGGCAUUACUUAAUGCUGUUGUUAUUUGUUGCAGAAAUACUGUCUGUCCAUCUGUCCAUCCAUCCAUCCAUCCAUCCAUCCAUCCAUCCAUCCAUCCUUUACGUUUUUAUCUUCCCUUUCUGCUGUGGAAAUCAAGGCUACCAGUAGUGGUAGCACAUUAUGGAAUAGGGGCAGGUAACCUCAGACCUCCGGUGGCCCUCUAGAUAUCGUUACCUGGCCCUUGGGGCUCUCCCCAGGCCACAGCCAUCUCUCCAGCCCUGUCUACCACCCUCCUCAAGUAUUCCUGCCUGACUGGAAUGUAUUAUGGAACUCUGAUAAUGGCUCUUCCUUGCCUUGAUGGAGGAUGAAUAAGGGGAUUUGUAUCCUAAGAUGUCUUCCCUUGUUACAUCGGAGCAGGUUUAAGAGAACUUCAGUUCUAAAGAACUUGGUUUGGGUGCAAGUGCAUCUGACUUAAGGAAAUUUACAUCCAUGUAAGUGUGCGAUUAACACUCUCCCUCCUCCUCCUCCUUAAUCCUCUCAUAGCCACACGUGCACGCCAACUCUACCCAUGCGCCUACUCGGGAUAAACCAGCAUCUCUCUAUCCGAUUGUUUCCCUUGAUGGAUUGUAACUCUUUCUCCCCCACGACCUUUGGUUUAGAAGCCUAAUAACUCACCGGAUUAAUGGUCAAUCAACGGAAGUAGCUUUAAAUUGCCUCCAAUGUAUAAAACAUAAACAACAACACCAGCCAAAAGGGGGAAGGAAAGAGAGAACCCCCUCCCCCACAAUCCCAGUCUGUUUCGUGCUCCACCCUCUUGGGGGGGACGACUUUGUCUUAUGUAAGUGGUCCCUGGGUCUUGUUCUGCAGUUGGGGGGGGCUGGAGAGGGGAGGCGUGGGCGCGCUUGACUAGUACGGAACAGUCCAGUACAUAUUUAAAAAGGAGGAAGAUCAGAGAACCUGAGUAACUCUCCCCAAGCAGAAACGUGCAUCUGGAUUUCCAUGGAAACUACAUUUUCAAGGGGAUUUGCUACCAGGGAACGUGUUUCGUAUCAAAUGCGAGGGCUUUCUUGUCCAAGCCAAGCACAGGGACAACCUGACCACAUGCUGAUUCUGAAUGCUAUUUACUGCUAAGGCUGCAAUCCUAUACGGUUACCUGAAAGUAAGAGCCACUGGACACCGUAGGACGUACUUCACAUGACGUGUUCGUGUGAGCGGGACCUUGAGAUACUAGGCAGCUGACCUCUUGCAUUGUCUUUCUUUCGAAUUAUGAAAUAAAGGACUGAACCAUACUUUCACGA